GACGAACGCUGGCGGCGUGCUUAACACAUGCAAGUCGAACGGUGAAGCGCCUUCCUUUUUGGUGGGUGUGGAUGAGUGGCGAACGGGUGAGUAACACGUGAGUAACCUGCCCCCUUCUUCUGGAUAACCGCAUGAAAGUGUGGCUAAUACGGGAUAUUCUGGGUCUGUCGCAUGAUGGGUCUGGGAAAGAUAUUGUUUCGGUGGGGGAUGGGCUCGCGGCCUAUCAGCUUGUUGGUGGGGUGAUGGCCUACCAAGGCGGUGACGGGUAGCCGGCCUGAGAGGGUGGACGGUCACACUGGGAAUGAGACACGGCCCAGACUCCUACGGGAGGCAGCAGUGGGGAAUAUUGCACAAUGGGCGCAAGCCUGAUGCAGCGACGCCGCGUGAGGGAUGGAGGCCUUCGGGUUGUGAACCUCUUUCGCCAGUGAAGCAGGCCUGCCUCGUUUGUGGGUGGGUUGACGGUAGCUGGAUAAGAAGCGCCGGCUAACUACGUG
rnacentral:rRNA from 1 species